UGAGUAGCAGGGCUAUCUUCUUCCAGUC
rnacentral:piRNA from 1 species